AGUGAACGCUGGCGGUAGGCCUAACACAUGCCAGUCGAACGGCAGCACAGUAAGAGCUUGCUCUUACGGGUGGCGAGUGGCGGACGGGUGAGGAAUACAUCGGAAUCUACUUUUUCGUGGGGGAUAACGUAGGGAAACUUACGCUAAUACCGCAUACGACCUACGGGUGAAAGCAGGGGAUCUUCGGACCUUGCGCGAUUGAAUGAGCCGAUGUCGGAUUAGCUAGUUGGCGGGGUAAAGGCCCACCGAGGCGACGAUCCGUAGCUGGUCUGAGAGGAUGAUCAGCCACACUGGAACUGAGACACGGUCGAGACUCCUACGGGAGGCAGCAGUGGGGAAUAUUGGACAAUGGGCGCAAGCCUGAUCCAGCCAUACCGCGUGGGUGAAGAAGGCCUUCGGGUUGUAAAGCCCUUUUGUUGGGAAAGAAAAGCAGCAGGUUAAUACCCCGCUGUUCUGACGGUACCCAAAGAAUAAGCACCGGCUAACUUCGUG
rnacentral:rRNA from 1 species